rnacentral:rRNA from 1 species
GACGAACGCUGGCGGCGUGCUUAACACAUGCGAGUCGAACGGAAAGGCCCUGCUUUUGUGGGGUGCUCGAGUGGCGAACGGGUGAGUAACACGUGAGUAACCUGCCCUUGACUUUGGGAUAACUUCAGGAAACUGGGGCUAAUACCGGAUAGGAGCUCCUGCUGCAUGGUGGGGGUUGGAAAGUUUCGGCGGUUGGGGAUGGACUCGCGGCUUAUCAGCUUGUUGGUGGGGUAGUGGCUUACCAAGGCUUUGACGGGUAGCCGGCCUGAGAGGGUGACCGGCCACAUUGGGACUGAGAUACGGCCCAGACUCCUACGGAAGGCAGCAGUGGGGAAUAUUGCACAAUGGGCGGAAGCCUGAUGCAGCAACGCCGCGUGCGGGAUGACGGCCUUCGGGUUGUAAACCGCUUUCGCCUGUGGCGAAGCGUGAGUGACGGUAAUGGGUAAAGAAGCACCGGCUAACUACGUG